GGCAUGAUCAAAGAAAGAGGAGGUGAAUUUUUAGGGUUUUUAACUGCAGUCAAAAUAUUCAGUCGUCUUUCCCCCACUUUCAUCUGUGUACGGUGGCCGGCUGGUUCCCUCAACCUAAUUUAUAACAAACGAUUUUAAGCCAGCCAGCUUAUUUAUCAUGGGUAAAGAAAAGGCUCGUGUCAACAUUGUGGUCAUUGGAGAUGUCGAUUCUGGGAAGUCAACCACCACAGGCCACUUGAUGUACAAGCUAGGUGGAAUUGACAAGAGCGUGAUUGAUGGGCUUGAGAAAGAGGCUGCUGAGAUGGACAAAGUAUCAUCCAAAUAUGCUUGGGUGUUGGACAAGCUCAAGGCAGAGCGUGAAAAAAAUAAAACUAUUGACAAUUCAAUCUGUAAAUUUGAGACCACUAACUAUUACUGCACUGUCGUUGACACUCCUGGGCAUCGUGACUAUCUGAAGAACAUGAUCACUGGAACCUCCCAGGCUGACUGUGCCCUUCUGAUCGUUGACUCAACCAUUCCUAAUUUUGAAAUAGGAAUUACCACUGGGCAGACUCGUGAACAUAUUUUGCUUGCAUUCACACUUGGUGUCAAGCAAAUGAUCUGCUGCUGCAACAAGAUGGAUGCCACUACACCUGAAAAAUACUCUAAAUUUCGGUAUGAUGAAAUUGUCAAAGAUUUGGCUUUCUACUUGGUGAAAUACGGAUACAACCCUACAAAAGUCCCAUUUGUCCCAAUUUCUGGUCUUGAGGGCGAGAACAUGACUAAGAGGUCACCUCAACUAAACUGGUACGAGGGGCCAACUCUACUUGAAGCCCUUGACCGGAUCAAUGAGCCAAAAAGACCAUGCGACAAGCCUCUCCGCCUUCCAAUUCAUGAUGUUUACCACAUUGGUGGUAUUGGUACCGUGCCUGUUGGGCGUGUUGAAACUGGUGUGAUGAAGCAAGGGAUGAUGGUCACUUUUGGCCCAAGUGGCUUGACAACUGAAGUCGACUCUAUUCAGAUGCACAAGGAAGCACUGCUUGAGGCAUUGCCAGGAGACAAUGUUGGUUUCAAUGUUAAAAAUGUUGUUGUGAAGGAUCUUAAACGGGGGCACGUUGCUUCAAACUCUAAGGAUGACCCUGCAAAGGAGGCUGCUAGUUUUACUUCUCACGUCAUCAUCAUGAACCACCCGGGUCAGAUUAGAAAGGGAUAUGCACCGGUGCUUGAUUGCCAUGCUUCCCAUAUUACUGUUAAGUUUGCUGAGCUAUUGAGCAAGAUUGAUCGGAGGUCCAUGUCUUGUAAAGAGCUGGAGGCAGAGCCAGAGUUUUUGAAAAAUGGUGAAGCUGGAAUGGUGAAGAUGAUUCCAACAAAGCCGAUGGUGGUUGAGACUUUCUCUGAGUAUCCUCCAUUGGGUCGGUUUGCUGUGAGAGACUUGAGGCAGACUGUUGCUGUGGGCGUGAUUAGGAGUGUGGAUAAGAAGGAUCCAACCGGAUGAAUGGUGGUUUGUUCAAUGAAUAGCUUGAAACUGAGUUUAAGCUUUAAACUAUUUUGUUAUGUUUUUAACUUUAUGGGUUUGGGCUUGUGGGUAUGGUGGUUCUGAAGUUGUUAUAGUACUGUAGGAUAUUAGUGCCGUAGGAUAUUAGUGCCUUCAAAAAAAAAUAAAAAUGAUAUUAACUAAUCAAGUAGCUUCCUUGUUUACUGUAGGACAUUAGUGCUUGAUAGGCGUUGGGGUUGUAUUUUGAUUACAUGUAAACUCUGGUUACAACAAGUAUAACUCCACCUAACUUCAAAAAUCAUGAAAGUACCAAAAACAUGGUAGAUGUGCAGUUUGUGUAUGACAAUUGAAUGCGAUUUUGAAAGGAGGUUAUUGGGCAGAUAAAGGCUGUGCAGGUAUUCGAAAAGCAAAGGCAAUGCUUGGUGUUCAGGAAUUGGUGAUUUGACAUUGCAAGUGGCUUUUGUGUUGCGCAUUGUUGCACAAAAGAGUUUUUGAUUAUGUAUCAGGGGGUUACUUAGCAUUAGUUGUCUAGAAUAUUUAGCAGUUUAUAUGGAUUGGUUUGAUGUAUAGUUUUAAGUGGGAAUUUGGAUUUGUAAAUGAUGGGCAUGUCAUCACAGAGAAAGUUGUUUUUUGUGUGUAUAAAAGUAUGUGAUUACUAGAAUU